rnacentral:rRNA from 1 species
AAGAAACUAACGAGGAUUCCCCUAGUAACGGCGAGUGAACGGGGAAAAGCCCAGCGCUGAAUCCAUCGGCCACUGGUCGCUUGGAGCUGUAGCGUAUAGGUGCGGCUGUCUGGCCGUUCCGCUUACCCAAAGUCCCCUUGAGCGGGGCCAUUGUCCAUAGAAGGUGCUAGACCUGUACGGGUGGCGGGACAGCCGGUUGGCUGCUCCUUGGAGUCGGGUUGCCUGGGAUCGCAGCCCAAAGUUGGUGGUAGACCUCAUCUAAGGCUAAAUAUGGCCACGAAACCGAUAGCAAACAAGUACCGUGAGGGAAAGUUGCAAAGAACUUUGAAGAGAGAGUUCAAGAGGGCGUGAAACCGCUGAGAUUGAAACGGAUAGAGUUGACGAAACUCGGCUGCAUUCAUUCGGUCGGCUUAGCGGCCCUGCGGCACUCGCUUCCUCGAUGAGGGCGGUGCCGUGGGUAGCUGUUGGGUGCUUGACCGGUGUACUUGCGGCCGGUAUGCGCUGAGGGCCUUGCGGUCGCGUGUUGACAAGUGUGUAGUGGACCACUCCUUCCGGGCGUGGAACCCUCCUCGCUUUGAGGCAUGUCGGCCGUGAGGUUUUGAACGUAAUCGUGUCUCCGCUAUGGUGCACCGGCCUUGCUGAGCUUCUGUGGCUUCGGGACGUCGCAUGCGACGCCUUGUUGUCGGCAGUUGCGUGGCGGGGUUCGGGUGCGUCGAGGCGCGCAUCUCGGUGUGAACGUUGACCACCUAUCCGACCCGUCUUGAAACACGGACCAAGGAGUCUAGCAUAUGCGCGAGUCAUUGGGUGCUAAACCUAAAGGCGUAAUGAAAGUGAAAUUCGUCUCGAUACGAACGAUAUGGGAUCCGUGCUGCUUGCGGGCAGUGCGGCGCACCAUAGCCCCGUCCCCGUUGCUUGCAAUAGGGCGGAGGUAGAGCGCAUACGCUGGGACCCGAAAGAUGGUGAACUAUGCCUGAGCAGGAUGAAGCCAGAGGAAACUCUGGUGGAAGUCCGAAGCGGUUCUGAC